rnacentral:rRNA from 1 species
GGUCAAGUUAUUAAGGGCGUAGGGCGAAUGCCUUGGCACCAAGAGCCGAUGAAGGACGGGAUAAGCUCCGAUAAGCUUCGGGGAGUCGCAAA